ACUGACAUAGUAUCAAAAAGCAGAACUAGGGGCUGGGGCUGGGGCUCAGCAGUAGUGCACUUGCCUGGCAUGUGUGAGGCACUGGGUUUGAUUCUCAGCACCACAUAUAAAUAAAUAAAAUAAAGGUCUCUCAACAACUAAAAAUUAAAAAGAAAAGAUUUGUGUUUUCAAUAUUGCUUGAAUCCAUCCACUUCCUCCCUUUCUCUAAAUCCACCAGUCCAAGACACAUCAUCUCUCAACUAGACUAGUAUGAAAUUUAACUGCCUCCCUAACUCCCCCUGUGCCUUCUUCCACUCAGGAACCCCACCCAUCUACUUUCCACAGAGAUCUUUUUAAAAAUCAAACAAGGUCUGUUUUGCUGGGUGCUCAAAACUUUAAGUGGAAUAAAAUUCAAGAUUCAUGAUAUUCAAGAUCCUGAGGCCCUGCAUGACCCUGCCUUCCUCUCUGCCUCUCCUUCCACAGCAUCCUCUUCAAGCUCACAGUGCUUCUGCCACACUGGCUGCCUUUUUUUCCCCCCACAGAUGAUGCAUAGAUCUCUUUCCUUUUCUAAUGUCUCUGAAUUAGCCAUUCUUCACUUUUCUCCUAUUUCAUUUCAACUUUUUAUUCAUGCCUCAGGCUAAAUAUCAAUUUAUGAAAAGGCCUUUUCUCACUUCCAAAUCUCCUUCAGCCCAAACUCUGUACUUUAUAAAAUAUAACACCUACAUUCUUUAAUAAUGAAUUUGAUUUUUUAUUUUUAAUAACUGUUUGAUUCUUUGUGCCUUUAUUUUUGCAAUUAACACAUGGUUAUAAGUCCCUAGAGGAAGGGGUUUUGGACACCUUGUUCUUCAUAUUCCAGGUGCUCAAUAAAUUGUUUACAGUCAUUAGCAAGUGAAUAAAAGUAACUGACAAAACACAAAGAGUCUACACAGUGAGGCAACUGGUCUCUCUAUCCAAA
rnacentral:lncRNA from 1 species